ensembl:snoRNA
AACACGGUAUCUCCUCAAGGGGACUUCUCCUAUGGCUGCACAUGGUUGGAAAUGCCUCUAAGUAAUCACUGAUUUUGCUUUGCUCAUAGUUNUAUUUCUCAGGCCUGUGAUAAGGCACUACAAGACAGCA